rnacentral:sRNA from 1 species
UGGAUCCUCAGAGCUACUAACGACCUGGGAUCUAUGGGAUUCCAACAAUCUGGUGACUCCCCUACAGGGUAAGGAAAGGACAGUUGAAGCACAUCCCAGGACAGCCUCCAACCCACGGGAGCAGGUGAGGGACCAACAGGCUAUGGAUGGAGUUACAGGACAGCCUCCAACCACACAGGAGCAGGUGAGGGACCAACAGGCUAUGGAUGGAGUUACAGGACAGCCUCCAACCACACAGGAGCAGGUGAGGGACCAACAGGCUAUGGAUGGAGUUACAGGACAGCCUCCAACCACACAGGAGCAGGUGAGGGACCAACAGGCUAUGGAUGGAGUUACAGGACAGCCUCCAACCACACAGGACCAAGUGAGGGACCAACAGGCUGUAGAUGGAGUUACAGGACAGCCUCCAACCACACAGGAGCAAGUGAGGGACCAACAGGCUAUAGAUGGAGUUACAGGACAGCCUCCAACCACACAGGAGCAAGAGAGGGACCAACAGGCUAUGGAUGGAGUUACAGCAGCGUGGGAGAUACCUGGGUGACAUGAACACAACUGCGACAACUCAAAAAAUGAACUUUCCAAACAUGAAGCCACGACUGGAAAGGUUUCAGUUUCAGGUAAUCAUUUACAAUACCAACGGAGGAGAAACAUUAACAUAACAAGGAAAACCAAGCCAGUGAAAGCAAAACAGAAAGGGAAAUGAUGACAGGGUUGGAGAGAUUAUGCCGGAUGGCACAGCAAUGAAGGUCACAGGAGUAAAUUGGAAGAAGUGGAGAAGACAUAACCGGACAAAGAAGGGGAGGACACUCCCCUGAAUCAAGGCUACUAAGGAGAACCAAGAAGGUUUGUCAGUGAUAGUGGGCUGCUCCUCUAACCCUGCAGUCAGGCCCAGUCUGAUCGCAAUGAUGGGGACAGCUGCUCCAAGUGACAACUGUUAGGAAUCUGGCAGAUCCUCGCUCACUGUCACUGCUUCAGGACCCUCAAGGGUCUUCUCCAUCUUGCUUUUGUUACUUUUCAACAAAGUCUGUGGCCCACGUGGGAAAAAUUCUGUCAAAGCUGUGCUUUUUUUCUCUUUAGUUCAAAUCUGAAAAUGGCCUGCAGGAAGGACUUCCAAAGGGGUGACACCAGCUGUAUGCAUUGCCUUGACAGAAAGGAUUUACAGUCAAGAAAGUCUCUCAGGAGCUCCUUCAAUGACAGGAGUUGUCAUCUAGAAUACUGAUAGGAGGAGAAGCACCAGCAAGUGUAAAGGGCAGAUGGACUCAGCUCAGGUGACAGAGGCUGAGCCAUCAGUCUGCAGCUCCAGGCAAUGGCAUCCAGGUGGCCAGACAGGCCAGUCCUGGCACAGGGUCUCUUACCACACCCCAUAGCUUGCUCAACUCUAGAGUAAUACUCCAUGAGGAAGAUCCUUGGGCUUCUUUGUCAGGAACCAUAAUGGAACAAGCAAGGUUGAACUUUCCGUGAUGUGGGCAGCGGUGGCCAAGGAAGGAGGACAGCUACAGGAAACCAACAGUGGAUGUCAGAGGCGACAGAAGCCAGGGUCUAUCCAUGGAGAGGGCUGGACACAACUCUCUACUGCCUCUGCCUCAUCCCCUCUCUUCCCCGUGGCUCGGGAAGAUGGGCGAGCCAGGAAGAUCAUAAUUUAUUUCUCUAGAAAAAAGAAAAGAAUUCCCUUGGGAAAUCUGCAGCUCCGUGAGCCAGAGGAGGCUCUGGCUCCUCCCUCACGGUGUCUGCUUCGGGAAUGAGUUUUCUCGGAGAUCCUCAAGAGGCUGGGUUCUGACUCCUCACCAGACCUUUGGGUUGGUACAGGACCAAAGCCCACGUUACUGGGUCUUUAUAAUUAUACACUUGUAUAACUUGUAGAACAGCCCACAACAUCCUUUGUUGCAUAUUUAUAGUGAGUUGUGUUUCAUACGAUCCUGAAUAGUCUGGAAUUCCAUAAAACAAAGUGGACGGAA